CCUACGGGGGGCAGCAGUGGGGGAUAUUGCACAAUGGGGGGAACCCUGAUGCAGCGACGCCGCGUGGGUGAAGGAGCGUUUCGGCGCGUAAAGCCCUAUCAGCAGGGAAGUACGGUCACUGUGCUAAUCAGCAGUGCAUUGACGGUACCUGCAAAGGAAGCACCGGCUAACUCCGUGCCAGCAGCCGCGGUAAUACGGCGGGUGCGGGCGUUAAUCGGAAUUACUGGGCGUAAAGCGCUCGUAGGCGGUAUGUCAAGUCAAGGGUGAAAUCCCCGCGCCCAACGGGGGGACUGCCUUUGAAACUGGCAAACUGGGGUGUGUGAGAGGAUAGUGGAAUUCCAGGGGUAGGAGUGAAAUCCGUAGAUAUCUGGGGGAACAUCAGUGGCGAAGGCGACUAUCUGGCACAUAACUGACGCUGAGGAGCGAAAGCGUGGGUAGCAAACAGGAUUAGAUACCCCGAGUAGUC
rnacentral:rRNA from 1 species